UCUCCGUAGGUGAACCUGCGGAGGGAUCAUUACAGAGUUCAUGCCCUACCGGGUAGAUCUCCCACCCUAUGUUAUUAUUACUUUGUUGCUUUGGCGGGCCGUUAGGCUCCGGCCCGACUACCGGCCCCGGCUGGUGAGCGCCCGCCAGAGGACCCAAAACCCUGAAUAUUAGUGUCGUCUGAGUACUAUAUAAUAGUUAAAACUUUCAACAACGGAUCUCUUGGUUCUG
rnacentral:misc_RNA from 1 species